AGCGACAAGUUGGAGGAAGGAGAGGAUGACGUCAAGUCAUCAUGGCCUUUAUGCCUAGGGCACACACGUGCAACAAUGGCCGGUACAGACGGAGGCAAUGCCGAGAGGCGGAGCAAACCCGAGAAAACCGGUCCCAGUUCGGAUUGAGGUCUGCAACUCGACCUCAUGAAGUCGGAAUCGCUAGUAAUCGCAUAUCAGAACGAUGCGGUGAAUACGUUCCCGGGCCUUGUACACACCGCCCGUCACACCACGAAAGUUUGUUGUACCCGAAGUCGGUGCCUUAACCUCGCAAGAGGAGAGAGCCGCCCAAGGUAUGGCCGAUGAUUGGGGUGAAGUCGUAACAAGGUAGCCGUAGGGGAACCUGCGGCUGGAUCACCUCCUUUCUAGGAGAGAAGGGUCCUGGAUGAAGCGCUCCU
rnacentral:rRNA from 1 species